rnacentral:lncRNA from 1 species
AUGGCGAUGCUUAAAAGCAAUCGACUUACAAGGGUAUGAAAAUGGGCUCGAUAUUGAAUCGAGAAAAAAUAUGAUUUUAAUAAUUUUAAAAUGGUUUUGAAUGAAUGAUGCAAUUAAAAGAAAACAAAUCUAUGUUAUUAAACAAUAAUAAAAAACUACGAGUAAUAAAGCAUAAACAUAAAAGAAAAUGUUAAAAGAAAAAAAAAUUACACAUAGGGGUAUCGAACCCACUACACUAAAGACCUAGACACCACUCCUCUCCACCAGACCACUUACCAACUAGUUGUUAUUUUAAUACUAACUUAAAUAUAUAAACUAAGAUAAAUUAAAAAAAGAAAUAAAAUAAAAAAUAAUAAUAAUAAAAAACUGGUGGACUACCCUAAUUAAACCCAGCCACUUGGCUGUUGGGUUUUAGAGGCUAAGGGUUGGGAACAUAAAAUAGCACUCAACUAGAAACUAAUACCAAUAAUCCACAAUAAACCACAGUUAAUGACUACUUAAGAACUCUAAACAUUCACUUAAUGGGAUUUAAAAGCCUGUUUAAAAAAGAAUAAAGCAUUGAAUAAAUAAAAAGAAAAAAAAGAAAAAAGUGAGGACGCAAACAGACUCAAUCGUCCUCCUCUCUCUAUCUCGCGCUCCUCCCUCACCGUCAACCUUCGCUCACUUCAAUCUCUCAACGAAUUUCGCUCGUACUCUCAACCUCACGUCUCUCUCACGAAAUAUCCUCCCUCAUCGCGACCUCAUGUCAC